CCUACGGGAGGCAGCAGUGGGGAAUAUUGCACAAUGGGGGAAACCCUGAUGCAGCAACGCCGCGUGAGUGAUGACGGCCUUAGGGUUGUAAAGCUCUGUCGUCAGGGACGAUAAUGACGGUACCUGAGGAGUAAGCCACGGCUAACUACGUGCCAGCAGCCGCGGUAAUACGGAGGGUGCGAGCGUUGUCCGGAUUUACUGGGCGGAAAGGGAGCGUAGGCGGGCUUUUAAGUGAGAUGUGAAAUACUCGUGCUUAACUUGAGUGCUGCAUUUCAAACUGGUAGUCUAGAGUGCAGGAGAGGAGAAUGGAAUUCUUAGUGUAGCGGUGAAAUGCGUAGAGAUUAGGAAGAACACUAGUGGCGAAGGCGAUCCUCUGGACUGUAACUGACGCUGAGGCUCGAAAGCGUGGGGAGCAAACAGGAUUAGAUACCCGUGUAGUC
rnacentral:rRNA from 1 species